UUCCGGACGGAAUUGACGUUCGGUAAGCACUGCCCGGUGCACUACGGUGUUAACGGCGGUCGACGGGCUUUAAAGUAGCAAAAUCCCUUGCCUCUUAAUUAGAGAGCGCGCAUGAAGUGUGGAACGAGGGAACGACUGUCUCUGGCGAGUGGAAGUGAAAUCGAACUUCAAGUGCAAUUGCUUGAAUGGCUCUAAUAGACGAGAAGACCCCGCGUAGCUUUACAUAAACUUUGAAUGGGUUGGGGCAAUUGUUUAGUUGGGGAAACGGGGGAAUAAGAAAAACUUCCAUGGGACAGGCAUGAACUGACGGGUUACGAUCCAGAUUGUGGCCGAAAGAAGGAUGAGCUACACCGGGGAUAACAGCGCGCUUCUGAAAUUGAGAACUCAUUGGUUUCAGAGUCGGCGACCUCGAUGUUGAAUCAGGGAAAGCUUGGGCGCAGCCGCUCAAGUGUUGGGUCUGUUCGACCUUUAAAUUCCU
rnacentral:rRNA from 1 species